UCAUCGCCGGAUAUGUUCUCUGUGCGCUGCUUCUCGACGCCACAAAGAGAAGCGGGGAAAAGAGGAGGGGAGCCGAGGAUGAGGCCGCCGCCUGUGGUGAUGGAGAGGGAGAAAGAGUAGUAGAGGCAGAGGUCAAAAAUGCGGAGGGAAGAGGGGAAUUUGAGGAGGAGGAGGACUUGGUCGGGGAAGGAGAUGGCUUCUUGAAUCUGAAGGGGGUUAGGGAUUUUGGGUGGAGGGGGGGAGGGGGGUGCGGCGGCUGGAGGGGUUAGGGAUCACCUUUUUGAAAGCGCGCGACGGAGAGAGAGGAGAAG
rnacentral:lncRNA from 1 species